GUUCCCAUCCCGAACACAGCAGUGAAACGCCGCAUCGCCGAUGAUAGUGUGGGGCCUCCCCAUGUGAAAGUAGGUCAACGCCAGGC
rnacentral:rRNA from 1 species